AAAUGCUCCAUGGACAUGUGUAACAAAUUCUGAGUGGUUGAAAACAGGAAGACUCACCGGAAGUAUCGCCGAAGGAGGCCUUUUCGACAGGGCACGUGGCAGCAGGAGAAGUAUCCAGGAGCUGGAAAGAAGAGGGAAAAGAGACCUCGUGUAGUAACGGUGUGAGUACCCUAAACCAUCGUACAGCAGUAUAAUCAUCUAGAGUGAACCAUCUGUGAGCGUUUUGUGAGUUUGUGGCAUAGUAUGUGAGCGGCCCCACCGUGGAGGAGGAUUGUGGGUGAGCCGGGACCAGUGAGCGAGAGAGGAUGUUGGGCUGUUGUGGCGGCAACGUUUAAAUCUGAAUAUUCGUGGCUUCACGACUUCCAGGAAGAGUCUUUGGUCAGACGGGGUGUUGACCCUAAAUUCACCAGAGUGUGUGGAGUGCAGUGGGCCCGACGAAAUCCUGUGAAGGAAGUGAAUACCGAGGCGGGCGAAGAAAACAUCUCCAAUUAUAUGCCGUCGAUGACAUCCUGACCCUUCUUCCCCACGUGACGGUGGUGGGAAACAAUUUCAAGUAAGAACAGUGUGGAUCUAUUGGGAAGUAUUAAUGGUGAGGAGUUGGCUGCUGUAGGAGGAAAUCAGCUGUGCGUGUAUUAUUACCUGCUGUGGAGUUCUUCAAAGGUUCGCCCCUGUCUAGAUCUCUUGACUUGUCGGUUGGUAGAAAGAAGAGGGAAGCGUUCGACCCAUCCAGUGUAGUACACCCCGGGUGAGACAACUUACCUGUGUGUGACGCCAGCGGAGGCCGUGUUCGGCCCAACGCAACAGUUUUCGAUCCGCCUCUCUAUCAGCAGUUGGUAGAAGCCUCAGAAAAGGAACGUCUGACGUCUAUUCCCUCGAAGAUCUAGCGGGUCCCUUUGAAGCGUCUACCUGCAUGUCGACUCGUCACUCAGGAUACAGAGACCGUGGAAACCCCCUC
ensembl:lncRNA